rnacentral:lncRNA from 1 species
AUUUGGUAUCUUGGAUUCAAAAGAGGCGUUCCUGCAAAGCACUUUCUUUGUGCUCAGUAUCGGAUUGGUCCCUUUGAUGUAUGGAUUCGUAACAGGUAAUCUGAGCCACGCUUUCUUCUUCAUUUUUGUCUCUAUGCCAAAUUGGGAUAUUUCUGGAAUUUAACUGCCUUGCUGAGUGUUUACGUGUUUUUUACUGCAGUGAAUUUCUAUUGCCACUAUGAGGUUUGUGUUGCAAUAGCCAUUGCUUAUUCGGUGUUACCGGUUCGUCUGAAUUUCGAUAAGCAAUGCCUCUUUGUUCAAAAAUCUGAGAAAACAUGUCGCACAAAGUGUCUAAAUUGGUUGUUGUGGCUCACUUGUGAUCUUGAUAUUGUUACAAAUUACAAACAUGUCGCACAAAGUGUCUGAAUUCAUUUUUUUGCAGGUUAUGGUUCAUGGUAAUUUGGUGAGAGAAAUAUUAGUUAAGAAUGUAUCUUAAUAAUUCUGGCUGACUCAUUCCUUUGUCUUGACUAGUCAAAGGUACAAUGGAUUGGAUAUUCUCUGCACGGGUUGAUUUUGAUCGGAAGAAUGGAAUUGAUGGAGAAGUAUCGUUUCUGCUGUGAAGAAAACGAGUCUGUGUCGGGGCCUCGCCUCCAGGUUCAACAGCUGCGGCAGGGAUGGCAUCCAUAACACAUUGCAUUAUCUUAGGUCCCCUAGAGCCCAAAACAUUCAGAUCAGAUUGAGAACAUCGCACGAUGGAUAGCUCGUCUGCAGAAACUCUUGGAGACACUUGC